ensembl:lncRNA
CUUGCUUCCAUGCAUGUUUUCCUCUUUAGGUUGUGGGAUUGAUUCUCAUCUAGGGUUUGCCUUUUUGAGUGAGGAGAGACUGGAGAUGCUUUGCUCAGACAUGCACACAUCAAGUCUGGGACUGAUGGUUCCCUUCUGCCAACUAAUGGUUGUUUUGGGAACAUCCAACUUCUCCUUACCCCCAGUUGUAUAAGUGGUCUUUAGUAUGGUAGGAAGGGUAUUGCUGGAACACCUUUUCAUCCCUGAAUCAGAAAUGUGUGCUAAGGUCUGUGAUUCCAGCAUUGCUCUUUUGAGAAGGUCUGUUUGGCUUGGAGUGAAUCUCCUGGAAGCAAAGAGGAGAACCACAUUGUACUCUUCUCUAUCUCCUUCUGCACCUGUGGCCUCAUGGCUUUAAAUUUCAAACCAAGCCAGCAAAGCACCACAGCCUCUGCAAACCUGGAUUCUUAAUAAUCCCCAGGUUGAUCACUUACCACAGAACUAAUUACAACUCUUCCAAGCCUCCUGUUUAUGUCUCCUCCCUCCUUUGCUUCCUUUUCAUUUCCUAUGUCCUAGGCCUUGAAAUGCUUGGUCUUGACAUGACAAUUGAUGGCUGCUGGCUGUACAAACACAAAGGCCUGGAGUAUAAGGAGAGCCAGAUGGAGCUGGAAUUGCACUGUGUAUUCUUCCUAAAUAAGCGAAAGAUUUAUAAAUUGAUGAAAUUUCUUUGCUCAUGCAGAUGUUUUGUGCCUCCUGUACUGAACUGGGCUCCAUGUGUCACGUUUGCUCUCACCAUGUGCUGCUGAGUUCACAGGACUUAAGAUGAUCAAUUUAUAACGUCUACAGAGUGCUAGGAUGAAAAGAUGUUCUGAAAAUGCCUCAGAUGAAAAGAAGCUGUAAAAAAAAACUAAUCUUUACCCUGAUAGACUGAUUACAAUCUAUUGUGCUGUGGAUUAGCGGAGACCUCCAGAUAGCAGCACUCUGCUGGCACUUUGCAGCUUUGUUAGGGAAAAACAGGAGCGUAUCUUUUAUUCCUGCCCUAUAUCCUCCUAUGUAUGAAGUGCUGCACAAACACCCAACUGAUGACUGCAGUUAUGUCAAAGGGCUGUCAGCUGAAAAGAACAGAGCAUAAAAAUAUGGGAAGGGAGCAGGUAUCCACACUUCUUCUGUCCUUUUGGACCCAGCUGUGCCCCCACCACUCAGCCCCUCAGUUUCCUGUACCCAAGUCCACGAGGGACGCUCAGCCCAGCAGCAGAGGAUUUGACCUCAGAUUUUUCUGGUGACACCAGCACUGACACUCUGCCUCCUCCACGUUGGCAUGGAUGCUUAGAAGAGCUGCUCCCAAAGGAUGACAAAUGAAAUGGGACCAGCCUGUCUGUGAAGGGGAACACUUCCCUCUGCUAACAGCUUGACUGAGAUUCACCCAGUUUGCUUCCUAACCGUUGGAACUGCCCCCACCAGUGAGUAGGUGCAGAGAUCAGCUUCUUCUGGAAGAAAUGUAUCUAAAAUGAGCAGAAGUGCUCUCCUGUGUAUCACGGGGACGUUGUCAUCUCCCAGGCUGUGAUAUGUGGCUAAAAAAAGAACAGAGGGCUCCUAAAGUAGCCGAAAAGUGCAUGAUCUGUGAGUAGAGCCAGGAGACAACUGAGUCAUCUCAAGUGCUACAGAGGGCCAAAAGAGUGGUAUUGGAGUGAAUAUGAGUGCAGAGCAGGCUGUGAGCAACGGCCCCAUCUCCAUGAUUUCCAUAGUCAAGCAGAUAGUACAAGAGAUGUGUGCUUGUGCAUUUGUAUCAUUCAGACUCCAUGUUUUCAGAUUCUUUGAACGGAGAACAAGAAAAAUGAUGGAGGAAAAGGAUCAGUGAGAAAACACUUGGAAUCACACCAGCGAGAAAGCCCCUGCUUUGCUAACACUGUGGUGGUUGGCAGUGGGAAAUAACUAACCUCCUACCACAGUGAUAGCUGAUAGUUAUAGCAUGCUUAAAACAGUCAUGUAUUUUGUAUCCCACUCUCUUCCACAGAAGUCACGUUUGCCAGAAACUUAAAAAAAGAUUCAAGUAUGGUUCAUGUUUCAUUUUGCUCUGAGGUAAUUGCCAGUCAGCAGCCAUUUGUGGUCUAAGAUGACUGGAAGUUUUAAAGCAGAAUGUGGGCUUUUCCCACUUAUCUACUUACCAAAACCAACAUCUACUGGGGAAAAAAAAAUCAACACAAUAAACAACAGAACAAAACAGUAUCUCAGAGGAGUCUGGCACACAAAUGACACAGUUAAAAUGUUGCUCCACUAUUACAAUUGCUUCAGAAUGAUUACUAUCCUUCUAUUUCAUCCUCAGCUGAUUAGUCCCUAGGCUCAAUUGCUUUCAAAUGAAUAAAACACCAUCUAUUUGUGUUUUUCCUUCUGUGAGGGAAAAAAAAAAAAAAAAUCUACUUAUUGUGAUAAAGAGAUUGGUUUUAUCUGUGUGGACUUUUGUUCUAAGGAAUGCAAUAAUUUUGCUGGUACUGAAAUUCCGAUUUUGAGUGUUUUUAAUUAGACUAUUGUCUACUCUGUUGAUUUGAGAAAUGGUUUGCAUAACUGACCCAAACACCUCCGGAAGCUUAAACUGAAUUUUGGAAAGCAUUACUGAAUAUUUUUCCUGUCUUCCUCCUCGCUGGACAGAAAAAGCUGAAAAGCCCCAAGCACAGUCGGAUACGCAAACCCACAAGAAUACUAGCAGCUAUGCGUUUCCCAUCACCAGUUGUUCAGGAAAUGCUGUACUUCAAAGAUAUCAGGUCAUUGCCCUUUUUCAAUACAAGGCGUUGAGAUAUAGUUUUGAAAAAUUUUCAGUUGUCAUCCAAGAUGAAUCUUAUCACGUUUACCCAUUAUUUCGAAUCAGAUCUGAAACAUGACAGGCAUAAUUUGGAUUGAGAUAUUUGGCAUUUCCCAAACCCCUGCCAUAUGUCACUCAAAGCCAUUGAUGGGCACUUCAAAGAAAACCAGCAUGCAGUUUUGAGCAGUUCUUUGCAAGUUUCUUUGUAGCAAAAUUUCCUACUUGGAAGCCCUCUAGUUAAGCUUGCAUUUCUGAUAAAUUUCCAUGCAUUAUUAACCUAAUUGGACCCAACAUAUAUUCUAAGAUUCUCAUUAAUAUUUUUAACAUGUUAUGGCAUCUUUAUCCUUGAGCAGUCAACCAAGUUUUCAUCUUCAUAAAAAUGGGUUCCUCAUAAUCGGACAAUCCAAUCAUUUCCAGUCCAUAAGGUAAAUUUCCUCUAUAUUCUUUGAUUUUGCAGGAUUUUUUUUUUUAACCAAUCAGCAUAAUACAUUUCACCCUAUGGUUUAUUUCUCCGUAAACCUUGCCACAAUUGCUGGAAGCUUCUAACUGGAAAGGAUGCCAACUUGAGCUGGAGGACACAUCUAAGAGAUGACCUCAGGCCAACUGAAAGAAGGUAGAGCAUUUUAGGAGGACCGUUCCAUUUAUUCUUGCAAUUUAGACGCUUCACUGACUUCUGAUCAUCUUCAGAAUGGAUAAAAUGCCAAUGGACCGUACUGAAUGGUAAAUAAAUGGUACUACAGCCCACUGACUGUUAGUCGUUCGUUAAUAUAUCUGCAUAGGGAUAACACUGUGGAGACUAAAUCCUGAAUAAAACUGUCUGAGGUGAUACAAAAACGAACAUGAAAAGGAUGACCCUAAGCUAAAAAGAUUACUUGUGUUUGUUUGGCUCGAUGGCUGUAAUAGCAGCAGUAUUCAGCUGGAACAAUUAUUGGGUAGAAAAGAAGGGUUUUUUUUUGUAUAAGUUCAGAAUGCUUUCACUGUUAUUAUCUAAAAUUGAACUAUGUAUAUUAUUUUAAAUGGGUAAAUUUUUGUUUUGUAUCCAUGAAAUUGCUACCACAUUAACAAGAUUUUCCAGGCAUUAAUGGAUUGAUUUCUGUUAAAUUGUAACUAUAUUAAUUCAUCCCAAUUACCUCUAAGUAAAAUUUAAAUUAAGUUAAAUUGAAGAAAUUAAAAAUGUUUGAAAACCCUGCAUGGAAACCUUGAG